rnacentral:rRNA from 1 species
CAGUCGCCACGGUAAUACAGAGGGUGCAAGCGUUAAUCGGAAUUACUGGGCGUAAAGCGCGCGUAGGUGGUUUGUUAAGUUGAAUGUGAAAUCCCCGGGCUCAACCUGGGAACUGCAUCCAAAACUGGCAAGCUAGAGUAGGGCAGAGGGUGGUGGAAUUUCCUGUGUAGCGGUGAAAUGCGUAGAUAUAGGAAGGAACACCAGUGGCGAAGGCGACCACCUGGACUGAUACUGACACUGAGGUGCGAAAGCGUGGGGAGCAAACAGGAUUAGAUACCCCGGUAGUCCCUGUCUCUUAUAU